UUGCACCUACCAACUGAAUGGUCAGGUGAGGCCUCAAGAUUGUGCCCCCCGCCAUUAAUUUGGUGGAGGCCACGAGAACUUGUUUAAACCGUAUCAUUUAGAAGAAGGUA
rnacentral:rRNA from 1 species